rnacentral:rRNA from 1 species
UAUAGGGGGUGCAAACGUUGCUCGGAAUCAUUGGGCGUAAAGCGCACGUAGGCGGUCUGUUAUGUCGGAUGUGAAAGCCCUCGGCUCAACUGAGGAAGUGCAUCCGAAACUGGCAGGCUAGAGUACUAAAGAGGGUCGCGGGAUUCCCGGUGUAGAGGUGAAAUUCGUAGAUAUCGGGAGGAACACCGGUGGCGAAGGCGGCGACCUGGGUAGAUACUGACGCUGAGGUGCGAAAGCGUGGGGAGCAAACAGG